AGUGAACGCUGGCGGUAGGCCUAACACAUGCAAGUCGAACGGCAGCACAGUAAGAGCUUGCUCUUACGGGUGGCGAGUGGCGGACGGGUGAGGAAUACAUCGGAAUCUACUUUUUCGUGGGGGAUAACGUAGGGAAACUUACGCUAAUACCGCAUACGACCUACGGGUGAAAGCAGGGGAUCUUCGGACCUUGCGCGAUUGAAUGAGCCGAUGUCGGAUUAGCUAGUUGGCGGGGUAAAGGCCCACCAAGGCGACGAUCCGUAGCUGGUCUGAGAGGAUGAUCAGCCAAACUGGAACUGGGACACGGUCCAGACUCCUAAGGGAGGCAGCAGUGGGGAAUAUUGGACAAUGGGCGCAAGCCUGAUCCAGCCAUACCGCGUGGGUGAAGAAGGCCUUCGGGUUGUAAAGCCCUUUUGUUGGGAAAGAAAAGCAGCAGGUUAAUACCCCGCUGUUCUGACGGUACCCAAAGAAUAAGCACCGGCUAACUUCGUG
rnacentral:rRNA from 1 species